AUGGACUCCGUCGACGAGUUCUUUUUUCACAAUUUCCUUUGCGACUCCGACGAUUCCUCAUCCGAUGAUGAGGAGAAGAUCUUGAGUGCCGUGUUGGUCCAUCACCACCUCAAUAGCCAGCGCCCAUCGUUCUGUGGCUCCAUUACGGGGCACCUCCCGGCAUUGAAUCGCAACCGAGAGAGCGAACAUUUCCUUCUUUGGAAGGAUUACUUUGACACAACAAACCCGUUGUUCAAACAUCAGAAAUUCCGCCGCUGUUUCUGUAUGAGUAGGCAUCUUUUCAACCGUAUUAGAGAGUGGGUGGUCGGCUAUGAUGACUAUUUCGAGUGCAAAGAGGAUGCCGUUGAAAAGAUUGGUUUCUCCUCUUAUCAAAAAUGCAUUGUCGCCAUCCGAAUGCUUGCAUACGGAGUGCCCGGUGAUCUCACUGACGAGUACGUCCGUAUGAGCGAGUCUACAUGCCUAGACUUCCUGUAUAAGUUCUGCAAGGCUGUUAUUGCUGUGUUUGGCCCUGGGUACUUGAGAGAGCCGACUCCUGAAGAUACAGCCAACGAUGAAUGCCAGCAGGGGCUUCCCAGGGAUGCUUGGCAGCACAGACGGCAUAUGCAUUGGGAGUGGAAGAACCGCCCUUCUGCUUGGCAAGGGCAGUAUAAGGGCCAUGUCAGGGCUUGUACUGUCAUACUUGAGGCCGUGGCGUCUCAAGAUCUCUGGAUCUGGCACUCUUUCUUUGGCAUGGCCGGAUCACACAAUGAUAUCAACGUGCUUCAACGCUCGCCGGUGUUUGCUAGGCUUGCCGAAGGCAACAUCCCACCGGUGAACUAUCAACGGCCACAACAACGACAAAGGAUACUACCUGGGUGA
rnacentral:rRNA from 1 species